GAUAACAUGACAAGGCAUACCAAGUUUGAGAGCUUAUUUUGGACCGAAUAUGUUUACCGAAUGAACCACUUGGAGCAAUAGGACAAGAAUUCAGUUACAGAUAAUUUUAUUUUACCAAAUUAUGUAAUUUGGUAUCCGACAAUUGAUUGUAUACAAAAAACUUUGGUAUUAAAAUGUUGGUCUGCAUGUCAGGUAAGCACAAUGAGUGCCGUCACUGCCAUGUGCAUCUUUAAACAUCCUUGUUAGCAGCAAUUGGGUUCAGCAACAAAACUUGGACGCAAUGGUAGAAAAAUAAAAAUUUAAAAGGAUUCUUAUUAUAAACAAGCAAAUCUUGAAAAAGAAAUUACUUCACAUGACAAUUGUAUGAUGAGGGAUGCCCAGCA